UCGGGUUGUAAAGCACUUUUGUCCGGAAAGAAAUCCUUGAUCCUAAUACGGUCGGGGGAUGACGGUACCGGAAGAAUAAGCACCGGCUAACUACGUGCCAGCAGCGCGGUAAUCGUAGGGUGCGAGCGUUAAUCGGAAUUACUGGGCGUAAAGCGUGCGCAGGCGGUUUGCUAAGACCGAUGUGAAAUCCCCGGGCUCAACCUGGGAACUGCAUUGGUGACUGGCAGGCUAGAGUAUGGCAGAGGGGGGUAGAAUUCCACGUGUAGCAGUGAAAUGCGUAGAGAUGUGGAGGAAUACCGAUGGCGAAGGCAGCCCCCUGGGCCAAUACUGACGCUCAUGCACGAAAGCGUGGGGAGCAAACAGGAUUAGAUACCCUGGUAGUCCACGCCCUAAACGAUGUCAACUAGUUGUUGGGGAUUCAUUUCCUUAGUAACGUAGCUAACGCGUGAAGUUGACCGCCUGGGGAGUACGGUCGCAAGAUUAAAACUCAAAGGAAUUGACGGGGACCCGCACAAGCGGUGGAUGAUGUGGAUUAAUUCGAUGCAACGCGAAAAACCUUACCUACCCUUGACAUGGUCGGAAUCCUGCUG
rnacentral:rRNA from 1 species